UCCAGAGGGGGCAAGCGUUGUUCGGAAUUACUGGGCGUAAAGGGCGCGUAGGCGGCCUGCUAAGUCGAACGUGAAAUCCCCGGGCUCAACCCGGGAACUGCGUCCGAUACUGGUAGGCUUGAAUUCGGGAGAGGGAUGCGGAAUUCCAGGUGUAGCGGUGAAAUGCGUAGAUAUCUGGAGGAACACCGGUGGCGAAGGCGGCAUCCUGGACCGACAUUGACGCUGAGGCGCGAAAGCCAGGGGAGCAAACGGG
rnacentral:rRNA from 1 species